GAUCUGAAGUACUAUGUUUUGGAUAGGGAAGAGGCAUGUUUGUCAUGUUUUGUUUGGCGCUUAUAUUUUUUCUAUUACAAGUAUUGUGAAUGCUUUCUUAUUUCUCGUGGGAUUGUUUAUUUUCAAACAGGUCUACAUUGCUUGUUGCGAUUACAGCCAUUGGUGGGUUAUCUUUGUCGACAUCCAUUUCAGGAAAUUUAGAGUGUCUAGCUCACUGAAGUUGACUGAAUCUCAGAUGGCUUCUACUGAAAGAAUUUGCAAAUCAUUCAAGAAACUUUACAGUCAUCUUCAUGGUGUCGAGGGAUUAAAUAUCUCAUCGUUCAAGAUAAAAGUUUGCGGCACCCCUUCUUGUUCAGAGAAAAGCGCGAGGCGUGACUGUGGUAUCUAUGCAAUGAGGUUCAUUUGGAUAUUCAAGGCUAAUUUUUACCCAAAUGUAUUCAAGG